CAUCUUACUGGGCAGCAUUGGAUAGUGUCUGAUCUCUAAUACUGCCUGGUAAUGAUGAC
rnacentral:pre_miRNA from 2 species